rnacentral:lncRNA from 1 species
UUGAAUUUCCUUCAUUCUAACUUGUAAUUCACAUAAAAUAUUAACCAAUUAUCAAAACAUGCAUUAAUGCAUUUAAAUCAUGCAAAUGAAAAUUGAAAACACAAAAUUUAAGCCAAAAUAGGCCAAUUUGGGACCUUUCCCGAUGGUUUCAACCGCCUGGAUUGGUUCUGAGUUGGCUUUUAAAACAAACUCACCAAUUGCUCUUUGCAAGCUUGAAACACCCUACUCGGUUGACAAAAUUCAAUAAACAUUGAU